rnacentral:rRNA from 1 species
GACAGAGGUCCCGAGCGUUAGGCGGAAUCACUGGGCUUAAAGCGUGUGUAGGCGGCGGCCUAAGUACCUUGUGAAAUCCCACGGCUCACCCGUGGAACUGCUCGGUAUACUGGGUCGCUUGAGCCACUUAGGGGCUACCGGAACAAAUGGUGGAGCGGUGAAAUGCGUAGAUAUCAUUUGGAACGCCAAUGGUGAAAACAGGUAGCUGGGAGUGUGCUGACGCUGAGACACGAAAGCCAGGGAAGCAAACGGG